rnacentral:rRNA from 1 species
UCUUCUGAACAGAAUCCAUUUGAAACACACUGAACACCCCAGUUCAUGCUUAGUUUCAGAAGUUAAGCAGGGACAGGCCUGGUUACUACUUGAUGGGAGACCAUCAGAUACAGGGUUAGGAAAAC